rnacentral:sRNA from 1 species
AUAUCUCUCGGUACGGGAAGGAUGAGAAGCUUCGACUAAGGUUCGAUUCGAGCGCAGCGAGAAAGCGUUGCCGCAGGCAACGACCCGAAGGGCGAAGCGCGCAGCGCUGAGUCAUCCUUCCCCCACCACCA